CUCAGACUGUCAGAGGUUUAUUGUGAAGAUCCACUUUUGAAAUGUGUUCAAGAGCUCAUAAAUGCAAACAAAUUAUGCAAUUUCUCCCUCAGGAAUCCAGGAGGAGUUACCCCUCCACCACCCAGUGGAUAUGAAUGUACUUUGGGAAAUGCUGAUGCAUCAUACGGAUCUUCCUUCAAAGAAGGACUUACUGCCUUAGCUCCUGGACUUACUCUCCCAUCAUGCAACAUAAUGGCAUAUUCGUAAUUAACACUUCUGAAAUGUUUGUGGAAUAAAUGGAAAUGGAUAUACAUUAAUAUACUUGGUUGUGCAAGUAUCUUUCUCCCUACUCAACUAUGAACCUCGGUGAAUCUGCG